rnacentral:rRNA from 1 species
ACGAACGCUGGCGGCGUGCUUAACCCAUGCCAGUCGAACGGAAAGGCCCUGCUUGCCGGGUACUCGAGUGGCGAACGGGUGAGUAACACGUGGGUGAUCUGCCCUGCACUUCGGGAUAAGCCUGGGAAACUGGGUCUAAUACCGGAUAGGAGCCAUUUUUAGUGUGAUGGUUGGAAAGUUUUUUCGGUGUAGGAUGAGCUCGCGGCCUAUCAGCUUGUUGGUGGGGUAAUGGCCUACCAAGGCGGCGACGGGUAGCCGGCCUGAGAGGGUGGACGGCCACAUUGGGACUGAGAUACGGCCCAGACUCCUACGGGAGGCAGCAGUGGGGAAUAUUGCACAAUGGGCGCAAGCCUGAUGCAGCGACGCCGCGUGGGGGAUGACGGCCUUCGGGUUGUAAACUCCUUUCGCUAGGGACGAAGCUUUUGUGACGGUACCUAGAUAAGAAGCACCGGCUAACUACGU